AUGCAAAAACCCCUGAAAUCGAACAAUGAAGAAACAAAACAACGAAACCCAAAAACUGAUCGGUUUUAUAUUAUCCCUUGCGAAAAACUCGGAGAAAACGAAAAGGCGGAAGAAUUCACCGUCGGUUUCGAUCUCCGAAGCGAUUAUCGGAAAACGCAGAAUGAGAAAACUGUGAAAUUUGAAUUUGUGAAAUUUUGCAGAGAAAGAAUGAAUUUGAAUUUGUUGAGAGAAGAACAAAACAAAGAAAAAGAAGCAGAAGAAGCUUCUGUUGUGGUCUGUGUGUGCCUAAACCUAAUGCAAA